UACGUAGGGUGCGAGCGUUGUCCGGAAUUAUUGGGCGUAAAGAGCUCGUAGGCGGUCUGUCGCGUCGGUCGUGAAAACUUGGGGCUUAACCCUGAGCUUGCGGUCGAUACGGGCAUGACUGGAGUUCGGCAGGGGAGACUGGAAUUCCUGGUGUAGCGGUGAAAUGCGCAGAUAUCAGGAGGAACACCGGUGGCGAAGGCGGGUCUCUGGGAAUGUACUGACGCUGAGGAGCGAAAGUGUGGGGAGCGAACAGG
rnacentral:rRNA from 1 species